GGUUGCUUCACACAAGAUUCGCGAGUUACGCUGCUUGGCAAGAUCGAUGUUGUAGCUGCAGCCUGUUGUCCGAGUCAGUUCGUAACGGUGGUGAUCGGGAACAAUGACGAGGCUUUGAGAAGACCAGGAUUACGACAGCCGAGAAAGUCGACCAGAGUCGAGUCAGAGAGUCAACCGCGCUCCUCUGCAGGGAUGAAGAUUCUGACGCGACGGAGAGACGAGCCCUGCUGGUAAUACACGCAAAACGGAUGCUUCAACAAACAGCAAAGCAGUACAACACAGUGACAAAUAAUGAAAAUAAAGCAUUAGUAAUGGU